UGAACGCUGGCGGCGUGGUUAAGACAUGCAAGUCGCACGGGAGCCGCAAGGCUCUAGUGGCGCAAGGGUGAGUAAUGUAUCGCUAACGUACCCCGGACUCUGGGAUAGCUGCCCGAAAGGGCAGGUAAUACCAGAUAAUAUAUCCAAACCGCAUGGUUAUGGAUCUCAAAGGUGCGCCGGUCUGGGCGCGGGCGAUAUCGUAUCAGCUAGUUGGUGAGGUAACGGCUCACCAAGGCGACGACGCGUAGCCGGACUGAGAGGUCGGUCGGCCACAUCGGGACUGAGACACUGCCCGGACUCCUACGGGGGGCUGCAGUAACGAAUCUUCCCCAAUGGGCGCAAGCCUGAGGGAGCGACGCCGCGUGGAGGAUGAAGUCCUUCGGGAUGUAAACUCCUGUCAGGGGUUACCAAGAUACUGAGGAGCCCCAGAGGAAGAGGCGGCUAACUCUGUGCCAGCAGCCGCGGUAAGACAGAGGCCUCGAGCGUUAGGCGGAAUCACUGGGCUUAAAGCGUGUGUAGGCGGAUCGUUAAGUGCCUUGUGAAAUCCCACGGCUUAACUGUGGAACGGCUGGGCAUACUGGCGGUCUUGAGCCAUCUAGGGGCGACUGGAACAAACGGUGGAGCGGUGAGAUGCGUAGAUAUCGUUUGGAACGCCAAUGGUGAAAACAGGUCGCUGGGGAUGGGCUGACGCUGAGACACGAAAGCCAGGGGAGCAAACGGGAUUAGAUACCCCGGUAGUCCUGGCCCUAAACGAUGUCCACUAGAUCGCAGGACCUCUGACGGUUUUGCGGUCGAAGCAAAAGUGCUAAGUGGACCGCCUGGGAAGUACGGUCGCAAGGCUAAAACUCAAAGGAAUUGACGGGGGCUCACACAAGCGGUGGAGCAUGUGGUUCAAUUCGAAGCAACGCGCAGAACCUUACCUGGGCUUGACAUGCUUGGAUUAUCCCCGUGAAAGCGGGGUAGGCCCUUCGGGGUACAACAAGUACAGGUGCUGCAUGGCUGUCGUCAGCUCGUGUCGUGAGAUGUCGGGUUAAGUCCCAUAACGAGCGAAACCUUUGCCCUUAGUUACCAUCAGGUUAUGCUGGGGACUCUAGGGGGACUGCCGGUGUCAAACCGGAGGAAGGUGGAGAUGACGUCAAGUCCUCAUGGCCUUUAUGCCCAGGGCCACACACGUGCUACAAUGGCGUCGACAAAGCGAGCCUAAAGCGCAAGCUGGUGGGAAACGCAAAAAUGACGCCCCAGUUCAGAUCGGAGGCUGCAACUCGCCUCCGUGAAGUUGGAAUCGCUAGUAAUCGCGGAUCAGCUACGCCGCGGUGAAUGUGUUCCUGAGCCUUGUACACACCGCCCGUCAAGUCAUGGGAGCCGGAAAUAGCCGAAGUCGCUGUGAUACAGCAGUGCCUACGCUAGGUUCGGUGACUGGGACUA
rnacentral:rRNA from 1 species